rnacentral:lncRNA from 1 species
AAAAGAUCCAUGCCAACGAAAAAAUUGUAUGAACUUGACCCAACGUUGGCACAAGAACACUCUCAGAGAAGAAAAAUAAAGGAAGGAAACAUACUCUUUUUGGCAAGUCGUUAACACUAGGAAAGAUGAAAAGACACUUAGAAAGCCCUUUAUACCUUCCUCGAGUAUAAAGGAACAUAUGAUCACCCCAUACUAUUGUCAAUUAUGAUUAAGGGUUAGGCCUCAGGCCAUAAAAAUAGUUUUUUAAUCCUAUUGGGUUGACCUGUUUAAA